AGAUACUCACAGUUCCCAUCCCCCACUCACUCCUGCAUCUCCAUCCACUUAGGAUUCUUGUCUGGCUUUCAAAGGCAUUUGGGAUUUUGAUCCUUCUAGGGUAGGAGAUGAAAUAAUAGAAAUGGUCACCCUGAGAAAUAGAAACUUGGGGCUCUUUGGAGAUCCCUUUUAAAGCUUGUGACUUCACAGCUUUUUAUAUCAGAGAAGAUCUUUGGGUUCUCUCUGCGUGCAAUAUGGUUUUUCCUGCCAAGAACAGGGGCUCUGCUAGCCAAGAACCAGGGCCAGCUCCACCUUACCUCCUUCCACAGAUGUCUCCCUUCCUCUCGUCCUUCCCAGGGAGGAAUCAGGCCCCUUGAGGUCAAAAUGGGUGCAAGAGAGAGUGAGUGAGACUUUCAGAGAGAGAGACACAGCCUAGAGCCCCAAAUCCCCGAGGAAGUGUCAGAGCCUUAAAAACUGGAUGCAGACCCAAGAGCCAAUUUCCUUUCAAUGCCACUAGAGGGCAGUGUAGUGCAAAGGACGGAGAGGAGAUUAGUUCCGGAGCCGCAGGUUCUAGUCCACUCUGCUAGCGGUGAUCUGCAAAAUAAGCUUGGCGCAUUUUCCUGAUAGCCCCCUCCAGUUCUAAGGUUCUGAGAUCCUGUCAGGAGAGGAUCGGGAUGAACUAGCCAAGAACUCCAAGUAGGUCUAUGUAAGAAACCAGAUGUGGGGGAGCGGUGGGGGAUGGCGAGAAUGGGGUGGUGGUGUAGGCAGCUGAGAGGUUUCUUUUGUGAUGGCCCAAACCUUUCUAAGGUUUGAAUCCUGCAGGGGGUAAAAAGCCUUAAAGUGUCUCUUUUAGGGUCAUGUGCUCGCAUUUGGGCAGCAUGUCAAACCACCCCAAAUAGUUUGGCAUUAUAGCCUGCUCCUACCCUUGCUGGGGGCAGUUGCUUAAUCCAGGGGAAGUAUUCAAAAUUACCACACAUACCACGCACUGGUGGCUUACCCAUCCUUGCAUUGUGUCAUAGCAGAGCCUAUUUUUUUCUUGGUGGAAAUCCUUCCAGAAAUGGCUUGAUGGAGAGCCUGUGGUGGCCACGGGGUACCCCUUGGCAGAGAUUAAAAAGUGAAGUCAGCAGGCAAAACCCUUUCUGGCUCAGGAGCUCCACUGAACAGGGUGCCUUGCUAUGCUUUAGAAACCCCAUCAAAGUUCUGGGGGCCCCUGCUGAUUUGGGGCAGAGUCUUUUUCCAUUGAAGUCACUUGUUAGGGUGUCCUGAAGUCAGAGACAGUGAGGUUGUAUCUUAAGAGAGCACUAAGGGUCAGGCUUGUCAUUAGAAGAUGGAUGGGCAUUUUCAGUGGUUUGGUGUCUAUGCAUCUCCAUAGGCCUCUAAUUCUGCCAGACUCACCCAAAAGCCAGCUGCAAAGGUAUAAACUUUGGACCUGUGAGCCUUGUUCAGGAGCCUCCUAGUGAGCUUCCAAUUUCCCAGCCUGUUCCUGCAUCCGUUGGCUGUGGACCUCUUGCCUCACUUCCUGUUACUACCCUUGGACUUCUUAGAGCUAGUGGGGGCAGGAUGGCCUAGUGGCUAGGAACACUGGCUCUGGAGCUUGACCAUCUGGGUGUGUGACUCCAGGCAAGUUACCUAAACUUCUUAUUGCCUCAUUUCCUCACCUGUAAGAUGGAGGUGAUUAUAAUAGUACCUGCCUUACACAGUGUUUGUGAGGAUGAAAGUGCUUAGCCCAGGGUGGGUAGACACCUGAUAAAGAUUUGCUGAAUAUAUACACUCAGGUCUACAUUGCAGAGACUAGUACAUGUAGAGAGGAAAAAAUCCCAGAAGAAAACACUUAAAAAAAAAUCAUUACCUCUACUUCCACGUCUGGCUGAGGUGGAUACAGGGACUAAAUAUACCCACCUGUCUGAAAUUACUAAGUGCUAAUAUACAACAAGUGCUGAUUAAAUGUUUGGUGAUAUUGUUGUUUUCAUGCCUUAACUCGCUUAUUCCUCACAAGUGUGUGACGGGCUUGGUCAUGGGCAGUCCUCUCUCCUUGUUCUAUCUUCUCUUCCUGGGUGAUGCCAUCUGCUCCUGGGCUCAGCAUGCCACCUCCAUAGGCUGAGGACACCAAGAUUUCUUCUCCAGCCCAGACCUCUCUCCUGAGUUCUGGACAAGCUCUUGUUAAAUGCAUUCUUGGCAACUAAAGACCCCAUAGCAGACUGUCUCUGGAAAACACUUUGUAUUUGGGGGAAGAGGCACAGGUGUUUUCUCUUCUAGUUCUCAGCCAGUUUCAAACUCUGAGUCUAGAGCUCAGCCAGUUUCAAACUCUGAGUCUAGAGCUCUGAGCCUUUGGGGGGCAGAGGUAAUCAGAGGUUAUUUACAGUGAUACGGAAGAAAUUGAGCACCCAGGGUUAAGAUGGCAAGGGCUCAGGGUUUGGGAAGCCCCUGGCAGCAUUGACAACAUGCUGUUUUCACUUGAACUUUGCUUGCCUCUUGUCUGUUUUUGAUGACUGGGUCUCUAGCCUUUCUGACGCACCAGUGAGCUGCCAGAUAUCCUUCCAACCCAAGGUUGUUUUGUACUGAUUGUAGCCAGAACCCAUCAAAGGUACAGGCUUGUUACAUUCAUUGUGCCCCAAAUGAGCUCAUUAUCUACUCCUCUGAAACCUUCUCCUCCUCCAGAGAACUGUAUUGGAGUAAAUGGCUUCUCCAUUUAUCUGGUUUUCUAUGUCAGCAAUAUGAGUCUUACACCUCCCUCUCCCUCACUGUCACCACCCAGUCACCAGAUCUCAUUGACACAGCUUUCUAAACAUUUCUCGAGAACUUUUCCUGCUCUCCACUGCCAUUACUAUGGUCCUCCUUUCUUAUAAUUGCCUCCUGCCUGAUGUCCUUGCUUUUCUCAGCCCGUCCUUCCCCCAGAAGCCAGAGUGAUGUUUUAACAAGACAAAUCUAAUUUUAUAACUCCUUCUCUUAAAGCCUACAGUGCCUUGUGUUUCUCUGUGGGUAAAGUCCAAAAUCACACUGGAGUCCCUAAAUUCACCCUAGAGGUACAUGGACCUUUCAGUUUCCUGCCAAUGCAAAACUCCUUCACACCUUGUCAACUUGGUAUAAUCUGGUUGCUCUGCUUAGAAUACUCUUCCCUCUACCCAAUUUCACAAGGCCAAGGCUUGGUCACCUUUUUGACCUCAGCUCACAUGCUAUAUCUUCAUGGAAUUCUUCCUUGAUUCUCCAGGCUAAGUCAGGUCCUUCUGAUAUAUGUUCUUCUAGCAUUCUGGAUUUCUCUGUUUCAGCUCUUGUCAUAACUAAUUAAUUAUUACUCUAUUUCCCUGAUUUUCUAAUAUAUGUUUCCAAAUAUUUUAACAUCUCUGAAAUCAGGAUGCAUCUUACAGUUGUAUGUGUCUCAAAAGUAUCAUUGGUGAGUGUGUUUCAUUUUCAGCGGUAUAUAAAAUAAUGGUGCAACUUGCAAGCAAUGCCAUCUUAGAUCUGAUGAAUUAUGGUAAUUAUAUAGUUCUUGGUUUGCCUGAUGUAUUUCCUAGAGUACAAGCCAUGUCUGUCUUGAUGAGCACUGUUUUCCCAACACUACUAUAGGAUCUGGUCCACAGUAAGCAUUGGAUAAAGAUUUGUUGAAUGUACACAUACAUUAUAUAUUACAGAAACUAAAAAGAUCACAGGAGAAAGUAAACAAAAACCCAAUUAUCUCAAUUUCUGCUUCUCGGCUAAGGUAGAGUAAUAAUAUUGGAUUUACUUACCUAUCUAUAACCACUAAGUACUGAGCCAAAUACCUGAAAGUGUGAUUUUCAAGACACUAGACAUCAGGAAACAAAGGACAGUGAUCCCUGAGAGAAGGGAAACAAAUCAAGUGAGCCCUGAAACAAGCCUAAUUUACUACGUGGAGAGAGUUUCCAGGAUGUUGUCAGGGAGAGAAAACCCAGGUCUUGGCAGUCUCCCUGAGUUGAGAAGACAGAGGUCUCCUCUUGGGGAGUCCACAAUGGCUAUUGUUUACAGGACACAGUUCUGGGGAGGAGAAUUCCACUGAAUUUCAUCCGUCUUCAGAGGAAUCACCAUCAACACAUGUAUUUGAGGGAAUACCCAAAGUUGGGGAAAGAACUCCUCAAAUGGAUGAGAGCUCAUGCAGGUAUGGGAAUAGUUUCUGUUCCCACCAGUCAAAGUGAAAACUUUAAAAUUCACAGGGCAGUGGGGAGAAUACACAGUAGAGUUUUGCCUUAGUAGUGGGGAAAGUUAAUGUUAGAUUGAACAUUAAACUCUGCUUGAGUCCUGCCUAACAAAGUUAAAAAGCAAAACUUGAAAAUAUCAUACCAUUUCUGGGUGACUUAACUAUGUUCCAGAACAAAGUUCAAGAAUAUUUAUAAAAUUACCAAAAGGUAAAAUCCAUAAUGUCUGGCAUUUUAUAAAACAUUAUGAAGUAUGUGAAAAAGCAGGCAAAAAUAAUCAUCAUGAGGAGAAAAAAGAUCAAUCAAUUGAAACCGACCUAGAAAUGACACAGAUGUUAGAAGUUUUAGACAAGAAUAUUAAAGUAAUCAUUAUAGUUUUAUUCUACAUGUUGUAGACCCUAGAGGAAAGAUCAACUAUUAAGUAGAGAUAUGGAAAUUAUGAAAAGACUCAGGUCGAACCUCUAGAGAUGAGAAUGACAAUGUCAAAGAGAGAAUUAAUAUCAGAUUAAAUAUUUGAGAAGAAAGAUUAAUGAACUUAAAUAUGUAAAAAUGAAAAUUAUCCCUCAAAACAUAGAAAAAAAGGCUGAAAAGAUGAGUAGAACUGUAGUGAGCUGUGUUAAUGGUAAAGCUAUAGGUGACCUGAUAUACACAUGUAUUUGGAAUCUCUGAAGAGGAGGGGACAGAAAUGUAUUUGAAGACAUAAUGGUUGACAGUUUUCAAAUUUGAUGAAAAACAUAAACCCAUAGAUCCGCAAUGCUUGUGGAACCCAAAGAAACAUGAAGAAAACUACGCUAAGACACGUCAUAAUCAAAUUGCUUAAGAUUGGAGUUCCCGUCGUGGCGCAGUGGUUAACGAAUCCGACUAGGAACCAUGAGGUUGCGGGUUCGGUCCCUGCCCUUGCUCAGUGGGUUAACGAUCCGGCGUUGCCGUGAGCUGUGGUGUAGGUUGCAGAUGCGGCUCGGAUCCCGCGUUGCUGUGGCUCUGGCGUAGGCCGGUGGCUCCAGCUCCGAUUCAACCCCUAGCCUGGGAACCUCCAUAUGCCACGGGAGCGGCCCAAGAAAU
rnacentral:lncRNA from 1 species